AUACAUGCAGUCGAACGAGGUGCUUUGCACCUAGUGGCGAACGGGUGAGUAACACGUAUCUAACCUACCUUUUAGUGGGGGAUAACAGUUGGAAACGACUGCUAAUACCGCAUACGACACCAUUAUGGCAUCAGAAGGUGUUAAAAGGCCCGUUUGGGUCGCUAGAAGAUGGGGAUGCGGCGUAUUAGCUAGUAGGUGGGGUAAUUGCCCACCUAGGCAAUGAUACGUAGCCGAACUGAGAGGUUGAUCGGCCACAUUGGGACUGAGAUACGGCCCAGACUCCUACGGGAGGCAGCAGUAGGGAAUUUUUCACAAUGGACGAAAGUCUGAUGAAGCAAUGCCGCGUGAGUGAUGACGGUCUUCGGAUUGUAAAGCUCUGUUGUAAGGGAAGAAUAGGUAAAAGAGGAAAUGCUUUUAUUUUGACGGUACCUUACCAGAAAGCCACGGCUAACUAUGUGCCAGCAGCCGCGGUAAUACAUAGGUGGCAAGCGUUAUCCGGAUUUAUUGGGCGUACAGGGUGCGUAGGCGGUUCGAUAAGUUUGAGGUUAAAUCCCGGGGCUCAACCCCGGUUCGCCUUGAAAACUGUCUUACUAUAAUACAGGAGAGGUAGAUGGAUUUCCAUGU
rnacentral:rRNA from 1 species